CUUUUCCGGCUCUGAGAGGCUCCAGGUUUCUCCGCCAGAGCUCCUGUCGCUCUGUCACUUGCGCUGUGUUCCUCUCUAGUCACAAGAGCCUUGGGGAAGACAGUUGGAAGCUCAGACAUGAGAAAUAUGAUUCCACAGGACAAUGAAAACCCACCCCAACAGGGUGAAGCAAAUCAAAAUGAUUUCACUCUUGUUGCCCAGGCUGGAGUGCAGUGGCUCGAUCUCGGCCCACUGCCGCCUCUGCCUCCUGGGUUCAAGCAAUUCUCCUGCCUCAGCCUCCUGAGUAGCUGUGGUUACAGCCCGCCUCAGCCUCCCAAAGUGCUGGGAUGACAGGCGUGAGCCACCAUGCCCAGCCGUAACUUAGAACUAUUUAAAGAGGCAAAGGCAGAGGAGAAUAAAGGAAGGAAGAAGUAACUCGUGGAAUGUUGAGAAAGGAAAAACACGUUUAAAGAAGAGGAACAGGCUACGACUUAAUGUUUGGUUGGACCAGUAUAAGCAUGCCAGGGCAAGUAUUUAGGGCUUUGUCACAGUGAGCUACUUCUCACAGGAGUCAGGAUCCACAUCUGCAGACUAUACAAAGACAACACAGAUUAAAAGCACAAUCAUCAUUGAAAUCACAGAACUUCCAAGUGUUUUUAUCCAUUUUCAGCUCCUUUAAGCACUCCAGUUCCUGGCAUUAAGGUCAGGUGUGCCUGGGAUGCUUUAAAUAUUUGUUCUUUUCAUUUUAAAUCCUUAUGUUUAGCUCCUACAGUGGGCCAUAUCAUUUGAGGUUGAGGUGCCACUAUACCGCCAUGGUUCCAGAUAAUAGGAACUCUUGCCGUACUUCUUAUCAUUUCUACCGUCUGACCGUUUUGUUCAGAUCAGCUGAACAUAGUGUGGCCGUGGCUUGCAGACUGAGAGGUGCAGUUUAAGCUAAACAUCCCCUUAGGGGACCAAUUGAUAAUGAUUCCAUAGGAAUUGUUGUGCAGCACCUCUGCCUGUUCUGCAAUGCAAUCUUCUUAAACAAGUACAUUCAUUUUUUCUAACUGGGUCCGAUCCUGUUUACAAAUAGGUUUUUGAGGGCGGUAUGCCUCAAUUAUGGGAGCAGAUUUAUUAUGGUAAAUACUGAGACCAGAAAGCAUGUGUAACUGUGUCAUAGAGUGAUUACAUCCAGGCAUUAUUACCAGUCAAGAUUGAUAAAUAUGCCCAGUAAUUGUUCUCUGUGUCAGCCCUUAUUGAAGGAAUACUCAAGGUAGUGGUGAUAACCGCUAUCAUAGCUACCAUUAAAUUAUUCAUUGUGACUGGUUGUCCCGCUUUCCUCAGGUUUUCUUCCGCUGUCUGUGACAGCUUCUUGAUCUGUCCCCAGGUGGGUGGCUGUGUUCGAUGGGUGUUGCUUGUGACAGUUGGGGUCUUCCUCAGCAUCAGUCUCGACAUGGCUGCAACCGAGGGGUCCCCGGGAUCCUCUCGGAGUCUCUUCCUCAGCAUCUGGCUCAUGAUAAGGUUUCAGGUGUCUUGAUAGGACCCAAAUCGGCUGUUAAUUUUGGUCUGGAGAAACACAAGCAUAACCUCUACUCCAAGUUAUUAUUUUACCUAUUUCCCAACUUUUUGUUAUUGAAUCUCUCCACCAAAUCAGUUGUUCUGCUUCUGUCUUUGCAGCUGGUUUCUGUAGAUGCUUUUCAGUUGCUGAUAACAUCUGGCCUUUGGGCAGGUUCAAAACAUUUAAUGUUAAUAAUGCUAGGUUCAGUUGUAUCUGUGGGGUUCCAGAUUCUCUAUUUCCCCCUUUCUGCUUUUGCAACUGCUGUUUUAGGGAAAGAUUCAUUCUUUCCACUAUGGCUUGUCCUUGAAUUGUAUGGGGUGAUAGUAAUGUGUUUAAUAUUCCACAUAGAGAAAAAUGUAGCUAGAGCUUGGCUAGUAUAGCCUGGGGCAUUAUCUGUUUUAAUAGAAGCUGGAAUGCCCAUCACCACAAAACACUGCAAAAGAUAUUGUUUAACACAGGCGGAAGACUCUCCUGUUUGGCAAGUAGCCCAGACAAAGUGAGAAAAGGUGUCCACACAUAGAUGUGGGCACCAAAUGCGGGAAUAUGUGUGACAUCCAUUUGCCAAAGAGAGUUAGGUUCCAAUCCUUGAGGAUUAACUCCUCCUGUAAAAGAUGAGGAAUGUACCAUUUGAUAAGUUGGGCAUUGCUGGAUAAUAGCUUUAGCUUCUUUCCAGGUAAUGCUGUAUCUGUGUUUGAGACCAGAGGCAUUAACAUGGGUUAAAUUGUGAAAGUCUCUAGCAUUAGGUAUUGCAGUAGCGAUUAGGCGAUCAGCCAUUUGAUUCCCUUCAGUCAAAGGUCCUGGAAGAGGUGUACGAGCCCUAAUGUGAGUGAUGUAAAAAGGGUGCAUUCUACUCCUAACUGCUGUUUGCAGUUGGGUAAAUAAAGUCAUCAGUUGUUCAUCUGU
rnacentral:sRNA from 1 species